rnacentral:rRNA from 1 species
GACGAACGCUGGCGGCGUGCUUAACACAUGCAAGUCGAACGGAAAGGCCUUUUCGGAGUUACUCGAUUGGCGGACGGGUGAGUAAGACGUGGGUGAUCUGCCCUGCCCUCUGUGUUGAGCCUGUGAAACUGGGUCUAAUACCGGAUAGGACCGAACUUUUGUGUGGUUGGUGGAAAGGGUUUUGGGUGUAGGGUGAGGCCGCGGGCUCUCAUCUUGGUGGUGGGGUUAUGGCCUACCAAGGCGGAGACGGGUAGCCGGACUGAGGGGGUGGUCGGGCACAUUGGGACCUAGGUAAGGCCCAGACUCCUACGGGAGGCAGCAGGGGGGAAUAUUGCACAAUGGGCGCAAGCCUGAUGCAGCAACGCCGCGUGGGGGAUGACCGCCUUCGGGGUGGAAACUCCUUUCGGCAGGGACGAAGCGUUUUGUGACGGUACCUGGAGAAGAAGCACCGGCUAACUACGUG